rnacentral:tRNA from 1 species
GUCAACGUAGCUUAAGUAAAGCAUAACACUGAAGAUGUUAAGAUGGGGCUUAAAACCCCCCGGAGACA